UACGUAGGCAGCAAGCGUUGUUCGGAGUUACUGGGCGUAAAGGGUGUGUAGGCGGUUCUUUAAGUUUGGUGUGAAAUCUCCCGGCUCAACCGGGAGGGUGCGCCGAAUACUGAGGGACUAGAGUACGGGAGAGGAAAGUGGAACUCCUGGUGGUAGCGGUGGAAAUGACGUAGAUAUCAGGAGGAACACCGGUGGUGUAGACGGCUUUCUGGACCGUAACUGACGCUGAGACACGAAAGCGUGGGUAGCAAACAGG
rnacentral:rRNA from 1 species